ensembl:miRNA
GUGCCAUAUCUGACUGUACGCAAUUGUAUCAUUAUAUUGCGUUAUCAGCGAUAUAGCAAUG